UGGUCCAAGCCUGCACAUUGUUCUCUCUGUGUUCCAAAUAGAGGGUCAUAAGGAGCGGUGCAGACCAACACCUCCCCAGUUCUUCUCUUACUGCAAAUCAGAAGAAUCCAAAGCACAGAGGAAAGAGGGCAGGUAACAGAAUACAGAUAGAGACCACAUAUCUCAAAGAACCUCCACUUACAGGUAGAAUACUAGAGCUUGUCUGACCUCCAGAGAGAGAAGUCUCUUCUCCUUAUUGGAAGUGUGAGGUUUUGGGAAUAAUACUGAACUUGUGGUAACGGAGGGAUGGGAAGAAAGGCAUAUCUGAGAUGGUCUGUCCAUGAUAACAGAAAGGCAACACCCCUGGAGCCAGGGUCCAGAGCUGCCGUGGAGCAGCAGAGGGU